rnacentral:sRNA from 1 species
CACACACGGACUUUGGUGUCUGCCGGGAGAAAUCCGGCUGAAACCUCCGGUGGCGGUCAAGACAAUCCCGAAAAGCGCAAGCCUUUCGAUCCGGUGAGUCCGAAGCCGUCAAGUGUCCGUGGAGGUCAACCGGAAAGGAACUAAAGAA